rnacentral:lncRNA from 1 species
AUCCGCGGUGGGCCCAGCACCCGCGAGCAGCGGUCACCUCAGCGCAGCCCUGUAAGUAGGUCCCGCUUGCCGUGCAAGGGCCGACGGGCGCAUCCCUCGUAGGCCGCGAGCGGCGCGCAGGCCUUUCCCUUGCGGUACAGUCGAUCACAAGCACCAGUAUCUCCACAUGUGGCCGAAGAAAAGCUAGGGAAAGCUGUACCCAGAGUUAACAUGAAGUACAGACAACUCAGUUUAACACUGUGUUUCUGGAAUUAGUGGAGUACAAGCUGUUAAACUGAAUGCUGUGCUGACGGGAGGUGUGCUGUGUGCCUGUGUUUUCCGUGUGGGUUUUUGUCAUGGUUGUUUACCCAGUUGGUUAAAUAAUAUAAAUACAUGAUCAACUGUUCCAAACCUUUACUCAAUAAAACAUUCCCAUUACUUUCAGCGGGACAUUGCGUAACUGCUACACAAGGCCUAAACUGGGCAGUGAAGCCAUGGUCGCUAAAGAAAACAGCCCUGGAGCACAGUACCACAAAGACCUGCUGCAUUCUUCAUUCACCUCAGAGUUUACACAAGAAAAUCUCUGAAUCAAAAGGUGCCUGGCAAUGAAGUUUUUCAAAGAGGAUGAUCAACCCAUAGAGAUGUAAUGCAGAAGAAUGGCUGCUACGUGGGACUUUUGGUAAUGAGCAUGUUUGCUGCCAGCAUCUGCAUGAGAAAGUGACGUGUUGUUGUGGACCAAAUGGAACAUCUUACGGUAUUUUGUGUGUCUUUAAACCCUAUGUCAUGGAUUGUGAGGAUAUAGCAUCUUCCAUGCAAAAUUUGUGGCUGCAAAUAGAAGCCUACAAAUUUGGUUGAAGGGCAAAUAAAAAGUACUGUAUUUGAAAUUAAGUUUUAAUUUGGAUACAAUUACACAUCAGUACAAGUAAUUGUAGCAUUAUUGCUUCCACCUUCUUUCCAUUUAGCCAGAUUUCUAAUCAGUGCUUCCCAGGGUUGCAGCUGUACUAAUGGUACCGAGUACCAGUACUGGUUAAACAGUAACACUUCAAGAGAAACAGUAUUUUCACAGUAUGGAAAUAGGGGAUCUUCCUUGUAACUGAAAUACGUUAAAGGACAUUCCUCGUGAAAUGUACAAUGAUCUUUGUCACUGGGUGCUUUCCUCUAAAGUAUAACUUGUACAUCAAAGGGAAAAAGUACGUAUUUAUGUCCCUCAGGGGCACAGAGAAUGGGAGUCAUUGUGUUGAUAUUUUAAUACAAAUUGCUUCCUGCAUUUCUUAGUGGUAAAUAUAUGAAUAUUCAUGGAAUCAAGGCCAGAUGAUCAUCCAGUACACAGCAUAUAUGGGAGAAAAAUGGAGGAGAACGUUUUAAAGCUCCAGAAUCUCCAGUUUGUCUUUGCCUGGGGGUGGUAAGUUUGUUAUCACCCUCCCCUUCCUCCGGAAGAUGUCACAGUCGGGAUCUGAGGGUGGGAAGGGUUGAGCUGGAAGGGACGGGUGUGGGGCUGGAGAGCUUUCUGUGCAGCUUGCUGCUUUCCAAACCUGGGGGGCUGCCAAGCAGCAGCCUGUGAGGGGUGAAUGCUCCUUACACAGUGUGCCUUUCCUCAUGGCGCUCACUAUCUCCCUGGAGUGUUUCAGGUUCUCCAGGAUUUUAAGUACCCUUUCCCGCUCUCCUUGUGUUCUGUAAGUCCCCUUUGCUCCAAAAGAACGAUACGCCAGUAGCUGCC